UGAGGAAUAUUGGUCAAUGGGCGAGAGCCUGAACCAGCCAAGUAGCGUGCAGGAUGACGGCCCUAUGGGUUGUAAACUGCUUUUAUGUGGGGAUAAAGUGCGUGACGUGUCAUGCAUUGCAGGUACCACAUGAAUAAGGACCGGCUAAUUCCGUGCCAGCAGCCGCGGUAAUACGGAAGGUCCGGGCGUUAUCCGGAUUUCUUGGGUUUAAAGGGAGCGUAGGCUGUCUAUUAAGCGUGUUGUGAAAUAUACCGGCUCAACCGGUGGCUUGCAGCGCGAACUGGUCGACUUGAGUAUGCAGGAAGUAGGCGGAAUUCAUGGUGUAGCGGUGAAAUGCUUAGAUAUCAUGACGAACUCCGAUUGCGCAGGCAGCUUACUGUAGCAUAACUGACGCUGAUGCUCGAAAGUGCGGGUAUCAAACAGG
rnacentral:rRNA from 1 species